CAUGCGGACCGGGCCCCUCUGGCGCGGCGUUCUAGCCAUAGCGGCAGUGCGCUUCGUGAUGUCGGACCGCAUCG
rfam:Novosphingobium subterraneum strain DSM 12447 NJ75_contig000013, whole genome shotgun sequence.